GACGUAGGGCGCGAGCGUUGUCCGGAUUUAUUGGGCGUAAAGAGCUUGUAGGCGGUUUGUCGCGUCUGCCGUGAAAAUUCGAGGCUCAACCUCGAACUUGCGGUGGGUACGGGCAGACUAGAGUGUGGUAGGGGGAGACUGGAAUUCCCGGUGUAGCGGUGGAAUGCGCAGAUAUCAGGAGGAACACUGAUGGCGAAGGCAGGUCACUGGGCCGCAACUGACGCUGAGGAGCGAAAGCAUGGGGAGCGAGCAGG
rnacentral:rRNA from 1 species